GAAUGCUGCGGUGAAUGCGUUCCCGGGUCUUGUACACACCGCCCGUCACACCACGGGAGUUGGAGACGCCCGAAGCCGAUUAUCUAACCUUUUGGAAGAAGUCGUCGAAGGUGGAAUCAAUAACUGGGGUGAAGUCGUAACAAGGUAGCCGUAUCGGAAGGUGCGGCUGGAUCACCUCCUUUCUAAGGAGA
rnacentral:rRNA from 1 species